UAAGGAAUAUUGGUCAAUGGACGCAAGUCUGAACCAGCCAUGCCGCGUGGAGGAUUAAGGCCCUCUGGGUUGUAAACUCCUUUUAUCUGGGAAGAAAUGCUUUGAUUCUUCGAAGCUUGACGGUACCAGAGGAAUAAGCACCGGCUAACUCCGUGCCAGCAGCCGCGGUAAUACGGAGGGUGCAAGCGUUAUCCGGAUUCACUGGGUUUAAAGGGUGCGUAGGCGGGUAAGUAAGUCCGUGGUGAAAUCUCUGAGCUUAACUCAGAAACUGCCGUGGAUACUAUUUGCCUUGAAUAUUGUGGAGGUGAGCGGAAUAUGUCAUGUAGCGGUGAAAUGCUUAGAUAUGACAUAGAACACCAAUUGCGAAGGCAGCUCACUACACAAUGAUUGACGCUGAGGCACGAAAGCGUGGGGAUCAAACA
rnacentral:rRNA from 1 species